GCGCGGGUGGUGAAAUGGUAGACACACUAGCCUUAGGAGCUAGCGCCGCAAGGUAUAAGGGUUCAAGUCCCUUCUCGCGCACCA
rnacentral:tRNA from 1 species